GACGAACGCUGGCGGCGUGCUUAGCACAUGCAAGUCGAACGGAGUGGCGAACGGGUGAGUAACACGUGGGUGAUCUGCCUUGCACUUCGGGUUAAGCUUGGGAAACUGGGUCUAAUACCGGAUAGUGCAAGAUGAGCUCGCGGCCUAUCGGCUUGUUGGUGGGGUAAUGGCCUACCAAGGCGUCGACGGGUAGCCGGCCUGAGAGGGUGUACGGCGACAUUGGGACUGAGAUACGGCGCAGGCUCGUACGGGAGGCAGCAGUAGGGAAUAUUGCAGAAUGGGGGGAAGCCAGAUGCAGCGACGCUGAGUGGGGGAUGAUGGCCUGCGGGUUGUAAACUCCUUUCGACAGAGACGCGGUACCUGUAUAAGAAGCACCGGCUAACUACGUGCCAGCAGCCGCGGUAAUUC
rnacentral:rRNA from 1 species